AUCAACUUUCGAUGGUAGGAUAGAGGCCUACCAUGGUGGUAACGGGUAACGGGGUGUUAGGGCACGACACCGGAGAGGGAGCCUGAGAAACGGCUACCACAUCCAAGGAUGGCAGCAGGCGCGCAAAUUACCCAAUCCCGACACGGGGAGGUAGUGACAAUAAAUAACAAUACGGGAUUCUAAAGGAUUUCGUAAUUGGAAUGAGUACAAUUUAAAUCUCUUAACGAUCAACAAUUGGAGGGCAAGUCUGGUGCCAGCAGCCGCGGUAAUUCCAGCUCCAAUAGCGUAUAUUAAAGUUGUUGCAGUUAAAAAGCUCGUAGUUGAAUUUCGGGGUUAGUAGGUUGGUCAUGCCUCUGGUAUGUACUGAUCUCACUGAUUCCUCCCUCUUGACGAACUGUAAUGUCAUUAAUUUGGUGUUGCAGGAAGUCAGGACUGUUACUUUGAAAAAAUUAGAGUGUUUAAAGCAGGCUUAGGCUUGAAUACAUUAGCAUGGAAUAAUGAAAUAGGACGUUUGAACCUAUUUUGUUGGUUUCUAGGAUCGACGUAAUGAUUAAUAGGGAUAGUUGGGGGCAUUAGUAUUCAAUUGUCAGAGGUGAAAUUCUUGGAUUUAUUGAAGACUAACUACUGCGAAAGCAUUUGCCAAGGAUGUUUUCAUUAAUCAAGAACGAAAGUUAGGGGAUCGAAGACGAUCAGAUACCGUCGUAGUCUUAACCAUAAACUAUGCCGACUAGGGAUCGGACGAUGUUAAUUUUUUAAUGACUCGUUCGGCGCCUUACGGGAAACCAAAGUGUUUGGGUUC
rnacentral:rRNA from 1 species